rnacentral:rRNA from 1 species
UAGUGUUCUAGUCUAGGUCGAUAACCACCUUAAACCAUCUCGAAUUAAGAAGUGAAAGGCUUAGAAGGUGAAAAUACUUAAAGGGGGGCCUUUUGGGAAAAUAACUUAAUGCUAGCAUU